UACGUAGGGUGCGAGCGUUUGUCCGGAAUUAUUGGGCGUAAAGAGCUUGUAGGCGGUCUGUCGCGUCUGCUGUGAAAAUCCGGGGCUCAACCCCGGACUUGCAGUGGGUACGGGCAGACUAGAGUGUGGUAGGGGAGACUGGAAUUCCUGGUGUAGCGGUGAAAUGCGCAGAUAUCAGGAGGAACACCGAGUGGCGAAGGCAGGUCU
rnacentral:rRNA from 1 species